AUGUUCUAGAACAACACAGUGGGGGAGGGUAGCAGGUGUGCCCGGACUUUCCACUGUAAUAAGAGCCGUCAUUUUGGGGUGCCAGGGAUGUGCCACAUUCAUCACUCAACCCCCACAGCGCGCACAGGAUGAACUGAGCCUCAACUACUUGCCUGCCUUACUGGCUUUGAGAUGGGACGCAACACUAUUAGGAAAACCACUGCUCCCUGAGGACCUACUAUGGUGCCAGGCCUAUUGUCAGAGACCUGCUAGACAUCCACGACGGAUGUGAUGGGCAUUGGAAUGCACACAAAGAUGCUGCCCCUUCCAGAGCCUUCUCUAGUUCUGCUGGUGGGCUUCCUCCCCAGACAGGCCUGGGGACACCCCACCAUCACCCCCUGAAACAAAUCAGGCAGAUCAUUAAGGAUUAAACAGGAGUGACGGCUGUUUGGCUGAAACAUGA